GCCGUGCGCGUUCUAUAAUGCAGUCGAGCGGAUUGAUGGGAGCUUGCUCCCUGAUAUCAGCGGCGGACGGGUGAGUAACACGUGGGUAACCUGCCUGUAAGACUGGGAUAACUCCGGGAAACCGGGGCUAAUACCGGAUAACUCAUUUCCUCGCAUGAGGAAAUGUUGAAAGGUGGCUUUUACUUCCCCUUUCCGAAGGACCCCCCGCGCAUUUACUAAUUGGGGAAGGAACCGCUCCCCCAGGGCACCAAGGCUAACCCAACCGAAAAGGGGAACCGCCCCCCUGGGAAUGAAAACCGGGCCCAAAUCCUACCGGAAGGAACAGUAAGGAAUCCUCCCCAAUGGACCAAAGUCUGAACGAACCACCCCCCCUGGAUGAUGAAAGGUUUCCGAACCUAAAGCUCUGGUGGUAAGGAAAAACCAGUGGCCGUCCAAUAAGGCGGCACCCUGGACGGACCUAACCCGAAAGGCACCGGUAACUACCUGGCCACCAGCGCGGUAAUACCGAAGUGGCAAGCGGUGGUCCGAAUUAAUGGGCGUAAAGCGCGCGCAAGUUGUUUCUUAAGUCUGAUGGUGAAGCCCACCGCUCCACCGUGGAAGGUCCUUGGAAACUGGGGAACUUGAAUGGAGAAGAAGGAAGUGGAAUUUCUAGUGGUGCGGUGAAAUGCCUAGAUUAUUGGAAGGACCACCAGCUGCCGAAAGGGCAUUUUCUGGGUCUGGCACUGACCCUGAAGCCGGAAGCGUGGGGAGCUAACAGGAUUAGAUUCCUGGUAGUCCACCCGGAUACCAUGAUGCUACG
rnacentral:rRNA from 1 species